rnacentral:rRNA from 1 species
UGGGGAAUUUUGGACAAUGGGCGAAAGCCUGAUCCAGCAAUGCCGCGUGUGUGAAGAAGGCCUUCGGGUUGUAAAGCACUUUUGUCCGGAAAGAAAUGGCUCUGGUUAAUACCUGGGGUCGAUGACGGUACCGGAAGAAUAAGGACCGGCUAACUACGUGCCAGCAGCCGCGGUAAUACGUAGGGUCCAAGCGUUAAUCGGAAUUACUGGGCGUAAAGCGUGCGCAGGCGGUUGUGCAAGACCGAUGUGAAAUCCCCGAGCUUAACUUGGGAAUUGCAUUGGUGACUGCACGGCUAGAGUGUGUCAGAGGGGGGUUAGAAUUCCACGUGUAGCAGUGAAAUGCGUAGAGAUGUGGAGGAAUACCGAUGGCGAAGGCAGCCCCCUGGGAUAACACUGACGCUCAUGCACGAAAGCGU